rnacentral:rRNA from 1 species
GACAGAGGGUGCAAACGUUGUUCGGAAUUACUGGGCGUAAAGCGUGUGUAGGCGGCUCGGAAAGUCGGAUGUGAAAGCCCUGGGCUUAACCUAGGAAGUGCAUUCGAAACUCUCGAGCUUGAGUUCUGGAGAGGAAGGCGGAAUUCUCGGAUGGUAGAGGUGAAAUUCGUAGAUAUCGAGAGGAACGACCGGUGGCGAAGGCGGCCUUACUGGGACAGUGACGUGACGCUGAGACGCGAAAGCGUGGGGA